AACAAAUUCCAGCACUGGUAAAGCCAUCACAAGUCAACAAGUCACGCGUCAACGCAGCGCCGGCCUUUCCCUAGCAGCCAUUAAAAUACCUUACAAAGCUUUAGCUUUCCUUCCUCACAGUUCACAUCACCAUUAACAAGAAGAAAAGAAACCAUGUCUCUCUUCUGCCUUCUAUUCUCUCUUCUCCUCUUCUUGAGCCCUUUACCAUCCUCACAAGAGAACCUCACUUCUUUCUCCUCCUUAAAAUCCCCAUGGCUUCCAACCCAGAACAAGACCUUGCUCUCUCCCAACUCCACCUUCGCCGCCGGUUUUCUGCAGCUGAACGGUGGCUUCACCUUCUCAAUUUGGUAUAACAAUUUGUCAAUAAAGUACACCGUUGUUUGGUCAGCUAAUAGGGAUGGUUCUCCACUUCUACUUUCUAACGAAGCCUCUCUGUUCAUCACCUCCACUGGUGAGCUCCGCCUGACCAAUUCUUCUUCAGGCACAAACUUGUGGCCUGGUGCAGCUACAGGAAAUUCCAAUUUUACUGCACUUUCCUUGAAUGAAACUGGGAAUCUUGUUUAUGGCAAGUGGGAAAGCUUCAAAAAUCCAACUGAUACGUUCUUGCCUACCCAGAUCAUAAACAUAAAUGGAACUGAACUUGUCUCAAAUAAUGGUAAGUUCCGUUUCUCGAAUUCCAGUUCCCUUGUUUUCAAUGGAUCUGAAAUUUAUUACACGACACCUAGCCCGUUACAACAACUGAGGAAGGAUGGCAGCGUGGCUCAAGCAAACGGAAAUUCAAUAAUUUCUGCUGAUUUUAAUGCUACCGAUGUCCGGUUGCGGAGGUUGACACUUGACGACGAUGGCGUUCUAAGAAUAUACAGUUUCGAUCCAAAUCUGGGUCAAUGGUUUGUUGCUUGGCAGGCAAUUCAAGAACUCUGUAAAGUUCAUGGGGUUUGUGGGCGUAAUGCUAUCUGUAUGAGUGAUGGCUCAAAUACUACCUCCUGCGAGUGCCCACCAGGAUUCACGAAAAGUUCUGCAAAUAAAGAUGAUUGUGAAAGGAAAAUUGCUCUCUCCAAAAACACUAAGUUUCUUCGGCUCGAUUAUGUCAAUUUCACUGGAGGAUUAAAUCAGAGUAACCUGAAUGUCAGAAACGUCUCUACUUGUGAAGCAAGCUGCUUGAACAAGGAGAAUUGUCAAGGUUUUAUGUUCAAGUAUGAUGGCCAAGGGUACUGUGUGCUUCAGCUUGAACGACUUCUAUAUGGGUACUGGUCUCCAGGCACGGAAACCGCCAUGUUCUUGCGUGUGGAUAUUUCCGAACAAGAUCAAUCUAAUUUCACUGGUAUGACUAGUGUGUUGGAGACGACAUGUCCUGUUCGAAUCAGCCUCCCUUUCCCACCUGAAGAAUCGAAUACUACGACAAGAAAUAUUGCAAUAAUCUGUACAUUAUUUGCCGCAGAGCUUAUUUCUGGGAUUCUGUUCUUUUGGGCCUUUUUGAAGAAGUACAUCAAGUACAGAGACAUGGCACGGACUUUAGGCCUGGAAUUCCUGCCCGCUGGGGGGCCUAAAAGGUUCACAUAUGCAGAGCUCAAAGCAGCAACGCAUGAUUUCUCCAAUGCUAAUGCCAUUGGGAGAGGUGGAUUCGGUGAUGUUUACAGAGGAGAGCUGCCUGAUAAGCGAAUUGUUGCCAUUAAGUGCUUGAAACAUGUCACCGGAGGCGACGGUGAGUUCUGGGCAGAGGUUACUAUCAUUGCCAGGAUGCACCAUCUCAAUUUGGUCAGAUUAUGGGGCUUUUGUGCUGAGAAAGGGCAAAGGAUUUUAGUUUAUGAGUAUGUGCCUCAUGGAUCUCUGGAUAAGUACCUUUUUCCUGCGGGUCAGGUUGCAUCUUCAGGAUCCGAGAUGGAGAUGGGUCUUGUAGCUUUUGACGGCCGGAAACCUAUACUUGAUUGGGGAAUCAGAUACCGGAUUGCACUUGGUGUGGCCAGAGCAAUUGCAUACUUACAUGAAGAGUGUUUGGAGUGGGUUUUGCACUGUGAUAUCAAACCCGAAAAUAUACUCUUGGGUGAUGAUUUUUGUCCAAAAAUUUCAGAUUUUGGAUUAGCUAAGUUGAGGAAGAAAGAAGAUAUGGUAAGUAUGUCUCGGAUCCGGGGCACCCGUGGAUACAUGGCACCGGAAUGGGUCAGAAGCGAUCCGAUCACCCCUAAAGCUGAUGUAUAUAGUUUUGGAAUGGUGUUAUUAGAAAUUGUAACUGGGUCUAGGAAUUUUGAGACGCAAGGUUCUUUGAUAGAGAGUGAGGAUUGGUACUUUCCAAGGUGGGCAUUUGAUAAGGUGUUUAAGGAAAUGAAGGUAGAAGACAUUUUGGAUCGUAAAGUUAAGCAUUGUUACGAUGCAAGGCAGCAUUUUGAUAUGGUGGAUAGGAUGGUGAAGACGGCAAUGUGGUGCCUCCAAGACAGGCCAGAGGCGAGGCCGUCGAUGGGGAAGGUUGCUAAGAUGUUGGAAGGGACUGUGGAGAUCACUGAACCAAAGAAGCCUACCAUCUUCUACUUGGAAGACGAAUAAAUGACUUGUCUAAGCUACAAGUUUCUGAAUAGUUGAAUAUAUUGUGGCAAUUCUAAGGAUGAGUGAAAGGUUAGCAGGCUUUUCAGUGUUCGUUUUCUUUCCUUACUACUUCUACUUUUGACUGUUUUUGGGCUUGUUUAGUAUAAGGCUUUCCUUGCAGUAAUUAUAAUUCCAGUUAGCAGACGUAAAAUUACUAAGAUCUUCUCUUAUUGCUUCGGCCAUCCAUCAAUAGCUAGAUAGUUGAAAGUCUGUUCAUAGUGUAGGAGAAAGAGUUCAAAUUUUAGCAAAUUUUAAGAUUCAUAAAAUUACAAUUGAUGUUUUUCAAUGAAAAAUACAUGUUAUAUGCUCG
rnacentral:misc_RNA from 1 species